ensembl:ncRNA lncRNA:CR44870 long non-coding RNA:CR44870
UAACUGUAAUUGCAAAGUUUUUACAGCUAGACACGAGGAGUACGCCUAUGAGGCCCCCGAACCUCUGGCCACCAAGCGCUCGCAAGGACAAUGCACAUGCAACCCGUCCAUUUGUCGGAUGGCCGAGGUAACGGGGAUGCGGGAGGUCCCGCAGGAUUCCUACGGAGGAGGUGGAACUACGUCCCCACAACGUGUGCAAUAAAUAUGAAUAACGAGCACAACGUGAGAGGCACACAAAGUAAAAACGAGACCGCACUCGGCAUCACAGUGUGGCAGUGAAAAGGCAGAUUCAGCAGGGCAUCACGGCCACCCUGGCCAUCCAGCCCACACUCUACACCAAAUCCUUGGAGAGCAUCCAACCUCAUUGUUGGCGACACGCGGCGGCAAAUAUUUGCUUCUGCCGCUGCCUUUUGUUUAAAUCUUGUUUAUGCAACAUGCAUGGCAUAUAUUAAGAAGUGCCGACCAGACUCGAGUGUCAAGCAAAUGUCCAGCAGCGCUCUGAUUUACACCCGGGUAGAAUUACACCACCAUGUGGAUCUGGAGAUGGGAGUGCUCCAAGUGUCGCUUCGGUUAACAGAUUGCUCUGCGGGUUGGUUACAUUUGUGCAGGCCAAGGAUUUCAGUUGGAUUAGGCGACAUCAUAUAAUCGAAUUGGAUGGUGCACAUGACUUUUGUGCACCUCCCUUUUCCAACUCUUUUCCAAGGACGUGUGCCCUAGUUGAAAGUAUAUAUAGUU